AUUCUAGAUUCAGAUUCACCACUGUCUGCAAACAUCGACAAAUUUAUUGAUGAAUUUAGUGUGGCUUUGUACAAAUGAGAUCGGUUUGAAACUCGAUAACAGCAGCGAAAUGCAAGAGUUCAAAUGAAGAUGCUAGUACUUGGCGCAGGUUCCAGUGCUAUACGGCGAUCAACUGGCUUGUACAACUUUGCAAAUUUGCAACGUAUUCCUCCUUGGUCACAUGAAAAUGAGCUGCUCUUGAACUGACGGCAACUGCAAGAUGGAGGAGCCUCCAGGUGUAUCCCUGCUGCUUAAGAUUAUUUUGAACCACUGACUCUCAGGGUUACAGGUCGGAUCUACGCUUAGGCACUUGCACUGAUUUGUCAUAAUGGCACCGGCAGGGCUGGCAUCCAAGCACACCCUGGUUUUAUUUUUGGUGAGCUCAGCUGAGACGUGCAUCCUUGAGUUUGAUAUCAGCUGCCACUUCGAACUAGGUUUGCUGCAAUCAGUGCCAAGCUUUGCGUUCUCGCCCACAAACUUCGCUUGGAGGCACUGUCCUGUGCUUUUCACCACUCGCUCGUAUGCUGAGGUAUAAUUCCAGGCAUUCGAUUCGUCACAUGGACCAAGCUCGAGUGACUUUGAAGGCUUUGCCAAGACGCACAGCCCAGUUUGGGGGUGGAAUAUUACGUUGUAUGGCUCUCUACUGUUUGGGAGACCAGGACCUGCAUAUAAAUAUAUUUCCGUUGCCGUUAUGAACUGGUUGAAGAAAAUUCAGCAUAUCUCUGAUAUCAGAACAGAGUGAAGUUCUAUGUCCUUUAGAUUCAAAAGAAAUAAAGUUAUGUGCCCUUUAGAUUCCUA